rnacentral:rRNA from 1 species
UACGUAGGGUGCAAGCGUUAAUCGGAAUUACUGGGCGUAAAGCGUGCGUAGGCGGUUGCGCAAGACAGGGUGUGAAAACUCCCCGGGCUUAACCUGGGAAUUGCAUCUUGUGACUGUGCGGCUGGAGUGCGGCAGAGGGGGAUGGAAUUCCGCGUGUAGCAGUGAAAUGCGUAGAUAUGCGGAGGAACACCGAUGGCGAAGGCAGUCCCCUGGGCCUGCACUGACGCUCAUGCACGAAAGCGUGGGGAGCAAACAGG